AUGAAAAACUCCCAGACCCACAGCCAGCUGUGGCUUUCAGAACAUAGGAUUUGUCUCAGUUCUGAGCAGGUCUGCAAACUCAAAACAUUACCAUUGUUUUUGACAAAUGAAUCAAUCCGUUCUUUAAUUGUCCUGUACAUAAAAUCAUUCAUGUUUUACAAAACAUUUUCUUUUUUCUUAGUAAUCCAAAGAGAUAAAAACAGAUGUUCCCUUUUAGUAUUUCCUAGAGCUAUUCAAACUUCCUUUCUCUGCAGGCCUGCUUGUCAGCCUGGUCGCAAGGCAGCUCAGAUCCCGGCUUGGAUGCUUCAGGGUCACAGCCUCCAUCAGCUCCACCAGCAGAACCCUUGUCAGCUCCUGAGCCAACAUCCAAAUGCUUUCCUAACGCUUGGCUACCUUAGAGAACAGCAAUGCUGAACCCUGAGAAGCAAUCAGAG
rnacentral:lncRNA from 7 species